rnacentral:rRNA from 1 species
AGUGAACGCUGGCGGUAGGCCUAACACAUGCAAGUCGAACGGCAGCACAGUAAGAGCUUGCUCUUACGGGUGGCGAGUGGCGGACGUGUGAGGAAUACAUCGGAAUCUACUUUUUCGUGGGGGAUAACGUAGGGAAACUUACGCUAAUACCGCAUACGACCUACGGGUGAAAGCAGGGGAUCUUCGGACCUUGCGCGAUUGAAUGAGCCGAUGUCGGAUUAGCUAGUUGGCGGGGUAAAGGCCCACCAAGGCGACGAUCCGUAGCUGGUCUGAGAGGAUGAUCAGCCACACUGGAACUGAGACACGCUCCAGACUCCUACGGGAGGCAGCAGUGGGGAAUAUUGGACAAUGGGCGCAAGCCUGGUCCAGCCAUACCGCGUGGGUGAAGAAGGCCUUCGGGUUGUAAAGACCUUUUGUUGGGAAAGAAAAGCAGCAGGUUAAUACCCCGCUGUUCUGACGGUACCCAAAGAAUAAGCACCGGCUAACUUCGUG